rnacentral:rRNA from 1 species
CCAAGGAAGGCAGCAGGCGCGCAAAUUACCCACUCCCGGCACGGGGAGGUAGUGACGAAAAAUAACAAUACGGGACUCUUUUGAGACCCCGUAAUUGGAAUGAGUACACUCUAAAUCCUUUAACGAUGAACUAUUGGAGGUAAAGUCUGGUGCCAGCAUCCGCGGUAACUCCAGCUCCAAUAGCGUAUAUUAAAGUUGUUGCGGUUAAAAAGCUCGUAGUUGGAUCUCAGUUUGCGGGUCGUCGGUCCGAAGCGAUUCGGCUUACUGGCGGCCCGCGACCGACCGCCGGUUUCCCCGGAUGAUCUUCACCGGUUGUCCCGGGUGACCGGCAAGUUUACUUUGAAAAAAUUAGAGUGCUCAAAGCAGGCAACUGUGCCUGAAUAAUGGUGCAUGGAAUAAUGGAAUAGGACCUCGGUUCUAUUUUGUUGGUUUUCGGAACACGAGGUAAUGAUUAAGAGGGACAGACGGGGGCAUUCGUAUUGCGACGCUAGAGGUGAAAUUCUUGGACCGCCGCACGACGAACUACUGCGAAAGCAUUUGCCAAGAAUGUUUCCAUUAAUCAAGAACGAAAGUCAGAGGUUCGAAGGCGAUCAGAUACCGCCCUAGUUCUGACCAUAAACGAUGCCAGCCAGCGAUCCGGCUGCGUUCCUCAAAUGACGCGCCGGGCAGCUUCCGGGAAACCAAAGCUUUUGGGUUCCGGGGGGAGUAUGGUUGCAAAGCUGAAACUUAAAGGAAUUGACGGAAGCGCACACAAGAAAUGGGGCCUGCGGCUUAAUUUGACUCAACACGGUGCAACUCACCCGGCCCGGACACAGGAAGGAUUGACAGAU